rnacentral:rRNA from 1 species
ACGAACGCUGGCGGCGUGCUUAACACAUGCAAGUCGAACGGAAAGGCCCUGCUUGCAGGGUACUCGAGUGGCGAACGGGUGAGUAACACGUGGGUGAUCUGCCCUGCACUUCGGGAUAAGCCUGGGAAACUGGGUCUAAUACCGGAUAGGAGCCAUUUUUAGUGUGAUGGUUGGAAAGUUUUUUCGGUGUAGGAUGAGCUCGCGGCCUAUCAGCUUGUUGGUGGGGUAAUGGCCUACCAAGGCGGCGACGGGUAGCCGGCCUGAGAGGGUGGACGGCCACAUUGGGACUGAGAUACGGCCCAGACUCCUACGGGAGGCAGCAGUGGGGAAUAUUGCACAAUGGGCGCAAGCCUGAUGCAGCGACGCCGCGUGGGGGAUGACGGCCUUCGGGUUGGAAACUCCUUUCGCUAGGGACGAAGCUUUUUGUGACGGUACCUAGAUAAGAAGCACCGGCCAACUACGUG